GACGAACGCUGGCGGCGUGCUUAACACAUGCAAGUCGAACGAUGAAGCCGGAGCUUGCUCUGGUGAAUUAGUGGCGAACGGGUGAGUAACACGUGAGUAACCUGCCCUUGACUCUGGGAUAACUGCUGGAAACGGUAGCUAAUACCGGAUAUGACCAAUGAAGGCAUCUUCUGUUGGUGGAAAGAAUUUCGGUUCGGGAUGGACUCGCGGCCUAUCAGUUUGUUGGUGAGGUAACGGCUCACCAAGGCGACGACGGGUAGCCGGCCUGAGAGGGGAAUCGGCCACACUGGGACUGAGACACGGCCCAGACUCCUACGGGAGGCAGCAGUGGGGAAUAUUGCACAAUGGGCGCAAGCCUGAUGCAGCAACGCCGCGUGAGGGACGACGGCCUUCGGGUUGUAAACCUCUUUUAGUAGGGAAGAAGCGAAAGUGACGGUACCUGCAGAAGAAGGUGCGGCCAACUACGUGCCAGCAGCCGCGGUAA
rnacentral:rRNA from 1 species